rnacentral:rRNA from 1 species
GACGAACGCUGGCGGCGUGCUUAACACAUGCAAGUCGAACGGAAAGGCCCUGCUUUUGUGGGGUGCUCGAGUGGCGAACGGGUGAGUAACACGUGAGUAACCUGCCCUUGACUUUGGGAUAACUUCAGGAAACUGGGGCUAAUACCGGAUAGGAGCUCCUGCUGCAUGGUGGGGGUUGGAAAGUUUCGGCGGUUGGGGAUGGACUCGCGGCUUAUCAGCUUGUUGGUGGGGUAGUGGCUUACCAAGGCUUUGACGGGUAGCCGGCCUGAGAGGGUGACCGGCCACAUUAGGACUAAGAUACGGCCCAGACUCCUACGGGAGGCAGCAGUGGGGAAUAUUGCACAAUGGGCGGAAGCCUGAGGCAGCAACGCCGCGUGCGGGAUGACGGCCUUCGGGUUGAAAACCGCUUUCGACUGUGACGAAGCGUGAGUGACGGUAAUGGGUAAAGAAGCACCGGCUAACUACGUG